GCGGCGUUAGCUCAGCUGGAUAGAGCGUCUGGCUUCGGACCAGAAGGUCGGGGGUUCGAGUCCCUCACGUCGCACCA
rnacentral:tRNA from 1 species